rnacentral:rRNA from 1 species
UACGUAGGGGGCAAGCGUUGUCCGGAAUCAUUGGGCGUAAAGCGCGCGUAGGCGGCCCGGUCAGUCCGUUGUGAAAGUCAAAGGCUCAACCUUUGAAUGCCGACGGAUACUGCCGGGCUAGAGUCCGGAAGAGGCGAGUGGAAUUCCUGGUGUAGCGGUGGAAUGCGCAGAUAUCAGGAGGAACACCUAUAGCGAAGGCAGCUCGCUGGGACGGUACUGACGCUGAGGCGCGAAAGCGUGGGGAGCGAACAGG